GAUGAACGCUGGCGGCAUGCCUAAUACAUGCAAGUCGAACGAGAGGAAGGAAAGCUUGCUUUUCUGAAUCUAGUGGCGAACGGGUGAGUAACACGUAGGUAACCUGCCCAUGUGCCCGGGAUAACUUCUGGAAACGGAUGCUAAAACCGGAUAGGUAGCAGACAAGCAUUUGACUGCUAUUAAAGUGGCUAAGGCCAUGAACAUGGAUGGACCUGCGGUGCAUUAGCUAGUUGGUGAGGUAACGGCCCACCAAGGCGACGAUGCAUAGCCGGCCUGGGAGGGCGGACGGCCACAUUGGGACUGAGACACGGCCCAAACUCCUACGGGAGGCAGCAGUAGGGAAUUUUCGUCAAUGGGGGGAACCCUGAACGAGCAAUGCCGCGUGAGUGAGGAAGGUCUUCGGAUCGUAAAGCUCUGUUGUAAGAGAAAAACGACAUUCAUAGGGAAUGAUGAGUGAGUGAUGGUAUCUUACCAGAAAGUCACGGCUAACUACGUGCCAGCAGCCGCGGUAA
rnacentral:rRNA from 1 species